GACGAACCGUGCGAACGUUGUUCGGAUUCACUGGGCUUAAAGGGCGCGUAGGCGGACGGUCAAGUCAGGGGUGAAAUCCUCCAGCUCAACUGGAGAAGUGCCUUUGAUACUGGUCGUCUCGAGGGAGGUAGGGGCAUGUGGAACUUCCGGUGGAGCGGUGAAAUGCGUAGAUAUCGGAAGGAACGCCGGUGGCGAAAGCGCCGUGCUGGACCUCUUCUGACGCUGAGGCGCGAAAGCUAGGGGAGCAAACGGG
rnacentral:rRNA from 1 species